AUAGUAAAGUCCUGUGCUGUGCUGAGACAGCACAAAGGGCCCUGCUUUUCCUCCUAUAGAACUCAGUUUUGGUUUUGUUUAUAACGAUUAGAAGCAAACAGUGGUGGCCUACAAAGAAUUGAGUGAAGUUUAAGAUUUUAAAGACAUUUAAAAAUAAAUUGUACCUUUAGAAAAUGGGGUGAAAGAUUGAAAAGCAGUUUCUAUUUCUGGACAGCAGAGGCAAAAAUAACUUCAAGUAUAAUCUCUUAUUCCUCUUCCAUUUGUAAUGUAAAAUAGCUGUGUUAAUUUUUAUUUUUUUAUUAUUUUCUCAGAUGUUUGAGAGUCUGAGUUAUUGAGUCUCCUUUUUGUUACCUUUGUAAUGAGUUAAUUAAGUGCCAGGUUAACUGCCAGGUACUGCUGGCUGUUUGAUUUCUCUCCUUUCUUGGCAGCUGUUCCGUUGCUGGUUCUUUUGCUCUGUAAGGAAUUCUGAAGUGGCUCUAGGGUCUUGCACUCAUGGUUUAUUUAAAUUGAAUCAUUUUUUAUUAUGGCCAAAGUAAAAUUAAUUGAUCCACUUUACUACUGCUCUCUUUAAAACUUCAUUACUGAAGAAAGAGAAGAACCGGGGUAUUAAUAAUUUGGUAUUAUAUUUUGAUGUUUUAUGAUAUCACGUGAAUCUUUAGGCUUUCAUAGUUCUUUUGGUUUGUUUUACUUCCAGCACUGUCACAGAUUGCGUCUGAUAAAGCAGUUUUUGAUGGGGAUUUUCACAGAUGCUGGUACAGUUGUCAGAUCUGUUUGUACAUGUGGUUAUUUAGAAAACGCGUUUGUAGAUUUAGGGUGAACUAUAUUUUUAGAUAAAGUUAAAAGUUGGGACAGGUAAUUAUUGUUUAUUUUCCCUUGUGAUAAACCAGAUGUUAGAGAAAGAGUAUAGAGCAAAAGGAUACCAUAAAGGGUAAGAUGGCCUUUAGGUUUGUCUUUCUCGGCUGGUGGGACAAAAUCAAUUAGCUUUAUAAGUUGUAGCUAUUUUUAGAAAUCAGUGGAUAAAUUUUGUGCUUUGGAAUGAUUUUUUUUAAAACAAGUUUUCAUGUAGCCCAGGCUGGACUGUAACUCAUUUUGUACAUUAGGCUAGCCUCUUGCUCUACUUUCCAAGUGUUGGAAUUGUGUGUGCCAGUAUGACUUUGUUUAGAAUCUUUACAGCCACUGUUUUUAUCAUUAAUAUUCAUCAGUCUAUUACUUUUUGAAUCUCUGAAAUAUUUCAUGUGCCAUAAAAUGAUGCUUUACAGAAGUAGGCCAUAUAUUGGUACUGACCUCAUAAGAUUGUGAUGGAGGUGAAAUUUUCCUGUUGCCUAGUGAUGUAAGGUCAGUGGUCAAUGCACAAUGCAUUACUUGUGUUCUGUGGUAAUUCUGGAAUAAACAGAUCUAUUGUGCUGCCAGCCAGAUAAAGUCCAUAUAAUAUGUAUAGCAUGUAAUACUUGAUUAUCAAUAGUGAUGUUAGUGCUUUAUGGAUUAUUAUUAUAUUUAUUAUAUUGUACAUAUAAAUUAUUAUUUUAGAGUACACUCUUUCUACUUAGAGCUGGAGAAGUGGAGAGCCUGAGUGGACCCCAUGUGGAAAAACCUGGAGUGGUAGUCCUCCCUGGGACCCCAGCCCAGGGGAGUGAUAGUAAACCCUGUUACUUCAACCCUGGGCUCAGAGACAAGUACAUCUGUGGGGCUAACUGGCCAGCCAGCCUACUUCACUCAGAGAGUUCCAGAGUAGUGAGAGACCUUGUCUUG
rnacentral:lncRNA from 1 species